GACGUAGGGCGCGAGCGUUGUCCGGAUUUAUUGGGCGUAAAGAGCUCGUAGGCGGCUUGUUGCGUCAGCUGUGAAAACCCGCAGCUCAACUGUGGGCUUGCAGCUGAUACGGGCAGGCUUGAGUUCGGUAGGGGAGACUGGAAUUCCUGGUGUAGCGGUGAAAUGCGCAGAUAUCAGGAGGAACACCGGUGGCGAAGGCGGAUCUCUGGGCCGUACCUGACGCUCAGGUGCGAAAGCUAGGGGAGCGAACAGG
rnacentral:rRNA from 1 species